UGGGGGAUAUUGCACAAUGGGCGAAAGCCUGAUGCAGCGACGCCGCGUGGGGGAUGAAGGCCUUCGGGUUGUAAACUUCUUUUGCUCUGAACAAGGCGCACCAUGGGGUGUGUUGAGUGUAGGGGUUGAUUAGCGCCGGCUAACUACGUGCCAGCAGCCGCGGUAAUACGUAGGGCGCGAGCGUUGUCCGGAAUUAUUGGGCGUAAAGGGCUUGUAGGUGGCUGGUUGCGUCUGUCGGGAAAGCAAAUGGCUUAACUGUGGGUUUGAGGUGGGUACGGGCUGGCUUGAGUGCAGUAGGGGAGGCUGGAAUUCCUGGUGUAGCGGUGGAAGGCGCAGAUAUCAGGAGGAAUACCGGUGGCGAAGGCGGGUCUCUGGGCUGUUACUGACACUGAGGAGCGAAAGCAUGGGGAGCGAACAGG
rnacentral:rRNA from 1 species